UUAAAUGGCCGCAGUAUUUUGACUGUGCAAAGGUAGCAUAAUCAUUAGUUUCUUAAUUAGAAGCUGGAAUGAAAGGUUGAACGAAAUAAUAACUGUCUCUUUAUGAAUUUAUUAGAAUUUUAUUUUUAAGUUAAAAAGCUUAAAUAUAUUUAAAAGACGAGAAGACCCUAUAGAGUUUUAUAUAAUUUUUUAUAUAAAUUUUAUUUUUAAUUUUAUAAGUUUUAUAAUCAAUUAUAUUUAGUUGGGGUGAUUAAAAAAUUUAUAAAACUUUUUUUUUAUAAAACAUUUUUUUAUGAUUAAUUGAUCCAUUAUUAAUGAUUAAAAGAUUAAAUUACCUUAGGGAUAACAGCGUAAUUUCUUUUUAGAGUUCAAAUCGAUAAAGGAGUUUGCGACCUCGAUGUUGGAUUAAAAUUAAUUUUUGGUGUAGAAGCUGAAAUAUUAAGUCUGUUCGACUUUUAAAAUUUUACAUGAUCUGAGUUUAAACCGGUGUAAGCCAGGUUGGUUUCUAUCUUUAAAUAGUUAAUAUAUUUUAGUACGAAAGGACCAAAUAUUUAAAAAAUUUUUUUAAUAUUGAAUUAUAUUAAUUU
rnacentral:rRNA from 1 species